UACGUAGGGGGCAAGCGUUAUCCGGAUUUACUGGGUGUAAAGGGAGCGUAGGCGGUUCAGCAAGUCAGAAGUGAAAGCCCGGGGCUCAACUCCGGGACUGCUUUUGAAACUGUUGAACUAGAUUGCAGGAGAGGUAAGUGGAAUUCCUAGUGUAGCGGUAAAAUGCGUAGAUAUAUGGAAGAACACCAGUGGCGAAGGCGGCUCUCUGGUCUGUAACUGACGCUGAGGCUCGAAAGCAUGGGUAGCGAACAGG
rnacentral:rRNA from 1 species